UACAGGGGGGGCAAGCGUUGUUCGGAAUUACUGGGCGUAAAGGGCUCGUAGGUGGCCAACUAAGUCAGACGUGAAAUCCCUCAGCUUAACUGGGGAACUGCGUCUGAUACUGGAUGGCUUGAGUUUGGGAGAGGGAUGCGGAAUUCCAGGUGUAGCGGUGAAAUGCGUAGAGAUGUGGAGGAACACCGAUGGCGAAGGCAGCCUUCUGGGCCGACACUGACGCUCAUGCACGAAAGCGUGGGGAGCAAACAGG
rnacentral:rRNA from 1 species